UACGGAGGAUCCAAGCGUUAUCCGGAAUCAUUGGGUUUAAAGGGUCCGUAGGCGGUUUGGUAAGUCAGUGGUGAAAGCCCAUCGCUCAACGGUGGAACGGCCAUUGAUACUGCUAGACUUGAAUUAUUAGGAAGUAACUAGAAUAUGUAGUGUAGCGGUGGAAUGCUUAGAGAUUACAUGGAAUACCAAUUGCGAAGGCAGGUUACUACUAAUGGAUUGACGCUGAUGGACGAAAGCGUGGGUAGCGAACAGG
rnacentral:rRNA from 1 species